rnacentral:rRNA from 1 species
GAUGAACGCUGGCGGCGUGCCUAAUACAUGCAAGUCGAGCGAACAGACGAGGAGCUUGCUCCUCUGACGUUAGCGGCGGACGGGUGAGUAACACGUGUAUAACCUACCUAUAAGACUGGGAUAACUUCGGGAAACCGGAGCUAAUACCGGAUAAUAUAUUGAACCGCAUGGUUCAAUAGUGAAAGACGGUUUUGCUGUCACUUAUAGAUGGAUCCGCGCCGCAUUAGCUGGUUGGUAAGGUAACGGCUUACCAAGGCGACGAUGCGUAUCCGAACUGAGAGGGUGAUCGGCCACACUGGAACUGAGACACGGUCCAGACGCCUACGGGAGGCAGCAGUAGGGAAUCUGCCGCAAUGGGCGAAAGCCUGACGGAGCAACGCCGCGUGAGUGAUGAAGGUCUUCGGAUCGUAAAACUCUGUUAUUAGGGAAGAACAAAUGUGUAAGUAACUAUGCACGUCUUGACGGUACCUAAUCAGAAAGCCACGGCUAACUACGUG